AACGAACGCUGGCGGCAUGCCUAACACAUGCAAGUCGAACGAGACCUUCGGGUCUAGUGGCGCACGGGUGCGUAACGCGUGGGAACCUGCCCUUAGGUUCGGAAUAACUCCCCGAAAGGGGUGCUAAUACCGGCUAAUGUCUUCGGACCAAAGAUUUAUCGCCUUUGGAUGGGCCCGCGUUGGAUUAGCUAGUUGGUAGGGUAAAAGCCUACCAAGGCGACGAUCCAUAGCUGGUCGGAGAGGAUGAUCAGCCACACUGGGACUGAGACACGGCCCAGACUCCUACGGGAGGCAGCAGUGGGGAAUAGUGGAAAAUGGGCGAAAGCCUGAUCCAGCAAGGCCGCGUGAGUGAUGAAGGCCGGAGGGUUGUAAAGCUCGUUUACCCGGGAGGAUAAUGACAGUACCGGGAGAAUAAGCUCCGGCUAACUCCGUG
rnacentral:rRNA from 1 species